rnacentral:lncRNA from 1 species
CUAUUACACAAUUUACUUUGAAUGCAAUGUGAAUAAUAAAAUGUUUAACUGUUUCACUUCUGUGUUUUUUGUUUUGUGUUUUGUUGUUUUUUUUUUUUUUUUAAUUUGAGGUUGGAAUAUUGCUGAAGAUCUAAAUUCCAUAUUACUUCAGAAGAUGAGCAGAACUGAAAAUUAAGUGAGCUGUGUUUUCCAAGAAAAAUCACGUUGAAAAUUUUCAGAGGAGACCAUAAAAUCAUUCAGAAAGUUGCAGUGAGAUCUUUCAAGAACCAACAAGAUGGAGAAUCAAGAACAGGAGCUUACCAUACAGUCUUGAGGACAACCAAAGCAGGUCAGUUUGGAACUUACUGUUUUGUUCAGAUCUUCACUACCCUAGCGAAGAGUUGGUUGAGGUAGA